rnacentral:rRNA from 1 species
AGGCCAGACUCCUACGGGAGGCAGCAGUGGGGAAUAUUGGACAAUGGGGGGAACCCUGAUCCAGCGACGCCGCGUGAGUGAAGAAGUAUUUCGGUCUGUAAAGCUCUAUCAGCAGGGAAGAAAAUGACGGUACCUGACUAAGAAGCCCCGGCUAACUACGUGCCAGCAGCCGCGGUAAUACGUAGGGGGCAAGCGUUAUCCGGAUUUACUGGGUGUAAAGGGAGCGUAGACGGUGCAGCAAGUCUGAUGUGAAAGGUCGGGGCCCAACCCCUGGACUGCUUUGGGAACUGUACGGCUGGAGUGCAGGAGAGGUAAGUGGAAUUCCUAGUGUAGCGGUGAAAUGCGUAGAUAUUAGGAGGAACACCGGUGGCGAAGGCGGCUUACUGGACUGUAACUGACGUUGAGGCUCGAAAGCGUGGGGAGCAAACAGGAUUAGAUACCCCCGUA